rnacentral:snRNA from 1 species
GUUAAAAGCUGGUUGGCCCAAUC